CAGCAGCCGCGGUAAUACGUAGGGUCCAAGCGUUAAUCGGAAUUACUGGGCGUAAAGAGUUCGUAGGCGGUUUGUCGCGUCGUUUGUGAAAACCAGCAGCUCAACUGCUGGCUUGCAGGCGAUACGGGCAGACUUGAGUACUGCAGGGGAGACUGGAAUUCCUGGUGUAGCGGUGAAAUGCGCAGAUAUCANGAGGAACACCGGUGGCGAAGGCNGNUCUAUGGGCANUAACUGACGCUGANGAACGAAAGCGUGGGUAGCGAACAGGAUUAAAUACCCUGGUUUCCACGCCGUANACGNNGNGNGCUACGUGUGGCUUUCAC
rnacentral:rRNA from 1 species